AGUGAACGCUGGCGGUAGGCCUAACACAUGCAAGUCGAACGGCAGCACAGUAAGAGCUUGCUCUUACGGGUGGCGAGUGGCGGACGGGUGAGGAAUACAUCGGAAUCUACUUUUUCGUGGGGGAUAACGUAGGGAAACUUACGCUAAUACCGCAUACGACCUACGGGUGAAAGCAGGGGAUCUUCGGACCUUGCGCGAUUGAAUGAGCCGAUGUCGGAUUAGCUAGUUGGCGGGGUAAAGGCCCACCAAGGCGACGAUCCGUAGCUGGUCUGAGAGGAUGUUCGCCCAACAGGGAAUGGAGCAACGGCCCAGACCCCAAGGGGGGGCAGCGGUGGGAAAUUUUGGCAAAGGGGCGAAAGCUUAAUCCACCCAUACCGGGGGGGUAAAGAAGGCCUUGGGGUUGUAAACCCUUUUUGUUGGGAAAAAAAAGCAGCAGGUUAAAACCCCGCUUUUCUGCCGGAACCAAAAAAAUAAGCACGGGCUAAUUUGGU
rnacentral:rRNA from 1 species